AACGAACGCUGGCGGCAUGCCUAACACAUGCAAGUCGAACGAGACCUUCGGGUCUAGUGGCGCACGGGUGCGUAACGCGUGGGAACCUGCCUUUAGGUUCGGAAUAACUCAGAGAAGUUUGAGCUAAUACCGGAUGAUGUCUUCGGACCAAAGAUUUAUCGCCUUUAGAUGGGCCCGCGUUGGAUUAGCUAGUUGGUGGGGUAAAGGCCUACCAAGGCGAUGAUCCAUAGCUGGUCUGAGAGGAUGAUCAGCCACACUGGGACUGAGACACGGCCCAGACUCCUACGGGAGGCAGCAGUGGGGAAUAUUGGACAAUGGGCGAAAGCCUGAUCCAGCAAUGCCGCGUGAGUGAUGAAGGCCUUAGGGUUGUAAAGCUCUUUUACCCGAGAUGAUAAUGACAAUAUCGGGAGAAUAAGCUCCGGCUAACUCCGUG
rnacentral:rRNA from 1 species